UCAGGAUGCCAUCAGGACGCCACGUCAACCCCUACACAUUAAGAUGAACUGCUUCAGGUGUUUUCCCAAUGAUUGUGUUAUUAUUAUUGUUAAUCAUGUCGUCUGUUUAUUAUUUUAACAAUGAAAAUAAAUUUUGAUUA